UUAUAAAUUAAUCUAAUCACCCGGACUCGUGAAUUAUGUGUGGAUGCUCAAACUAAUGUAUUCUUACCUUAUGAACGAUUCCACCAGCAGACUAUUUAAAUCGCUUUCGGGAAGCCUAUCACUUUGGCUGUAGGCUAGUCGACAAAACCCGUAGUCAGUCCUUACAUUCCGAAUUAAGGAACGACUCCGUCAACCGUUAACAUAAAUCCAACAGCGUGACUUCGAAAAUGAAAGGGCAGUCUUGAAAGAGUAGCCUAUCAGCACAGCUGUACGUGGCCAUUAUUGUAGCUCGCGCGUCCUUUGUCCAAUUUGAAGAAAACGCGUAUAUUUGACGGCUGGAGGAGCACCCCAUCAUUCAUCUCUUCAAAAUAUGUCGUAAAAUAUAAUAUUUCUUGUCAAUCUUCCCUGCUAAAUUUAGGCCAACAUUCUUCACAGAACAUACUGUAGUAGCCUACUAACCCAGCGCGAAGAGAGGCAGUGAUUGAAAGAUGUGACAGAAGAAUCUGAGCUUCGGCCCCGUCAUAUUCAUGUUAGUCUGGCUGGAAAGGUGGCAUGCUUCCCUGUGGCAGUGGGAGUACCCUAAACCGCAAUAAUAAGAAAUUAUUUAUUGGUUUCCUCGUACUGUUGUGGAUUUCCCUACCAAAUAGCCUUGUCAGGAUAAUAGCACAAUCCCCUUAUGGCUGGAUUUGGAUAUUGGGAACACGCGAGGGGGAGUACAGACAAGGAGAGUCCUAAGACAGUGUUUAUGAGAAAGAAGUAAUGAAGGAGAAUGGAGGGAAACUCUCAGUCAAGCCCCUCCCCUUCCAACAACUUUGACUGUGGGUGUGCAAUAUAGUGGAAACCAAUAUCAUCAGCUCAUGGUUAUAAAAUGAUUGUCUUUGUUUUGGGGACAUUACUCAUUGUUUAUAGCUAGUUAGUAAAUAACUGUAUUGAAAUGAUUUAAGUAACGUUGUUAGCACAUUAUCCAGGAUUCAAUAACAUGUGCUUUAUUAUUAAACCUGUGUUUGAAGUUAGUAAAGCAUUGCAUUUGCAUUUCAGGGUUGUGGGUUCAUUACUUCACUGGAUAUUUGCAAGGAUCACAUUGUUUGUAAACAUUACUCAUGUUGACUCAAGAACAACUACCCUUUAAGAGGCAAUCUGGGAUUGUCACAUCCAUGUUUGGACAUUUAAAUAGCAUCAUCAACUUAAAUGAACUGUUUAACUGUCUUACCCCUACAGAGCACUAUAUUUAAAGUUGUUUUACUCUUCUGUCAGUAAGCAAUGUAAAUGUUAACUGUAUAGCCUCAAAACCUACUUAAAGACAGAUUUAUUGCAACAAAGAUUGGACACGAUUAUUAGCAGCUGAUAUGUGUGUAAACAGCCAAUACAUACUAAAUUCACCUGCACAGCCGAUCUUCAUUGCAACCAUCACUGGACCCCACUAAGGCAGAUGUUGGUGUUGUUUUAUUCUUCAUUGCAACCAGAUUGGUUGUAAAAUCAUGUCAUGAACUGGCUAGACAUGACAUUUCCAACAACAUUGUGAUUGUGUUAUAUUUUGAAUACAAUGUAUUAUGAUAAAUCUAUGCUAAUUAAAGUUAUGAUUAAUGAGCUAUUCCUGGUUUGAGCCUGACAUUUCAAUUGUUGUGUGGAUAUCAUCAAUUAUUUAUUAAUAAAACAAUGUCAUAAGAUAACAUGCAAUAGUAAACCACAUUUUAGUGUAUAAGGCUGAAGUAAUUAAGUGUACAGUCCUAAUGUGGCAUAUUGUAAAAUACUGAAUAAACUGAAUUGGAAAAAAUAAAUAUAAUGAGCG
ensembl:lncRNA